UACGAAGGGGGCUAGCGUUGCUCGGAAUCACUGGGCGUAAAGGGUGCGUAGGCGGGUCUUUAAGUCAGGGGUGAAAUCCUGGAGCUCAACUCCAGAACUGCCUUUGAUACUGGAGAUCUUGAGUUCGGGAGAGGUGAGUGGAACUGCGAGUGUAGAGGUGAAAUUCGUAGAUAUUCGCAAGAACACCAGUGGCGAGGGCGGCUCACUGGCCCGAUACUGACGCUGAGGCACGAAAGCGUGGGGAGCAAACAGG
rnacentral:rRNA from 1 species